rnacentral:rRNA from 1 species
GACGAACGCUGGCGGCGUGCUUAACACAUGCAAGUCGAGCGGUAAGGCCCUUUCGGGGGUACACGAGCGGCGAACGGGUGAGUAACACGUGGGUGACCUGCCCUCAGCUCUGGGAUAAGCCUGGGAAACCGGGUCUAAUACCGGAUAUGACUCCAUGACGCAUGUUGUGGGGUGAAAGCCUUGUGCGGCUGAGGAUGGGCCCGCGGCCUAUCAGCUUGUUGGUGGGGCGAUGGCCUACCAAGGCGACGACGGGUAGCCGGCCUGAGAGGGCGACCGGCCACACUGGGACUGCGACACGGGCCAGACUCCUACGGGAGGCAGCAGUAAGGAAUAUUGCNCAAUGGGCGAAAGCCUGACGCAGCGACGCCGCGUGGGGAUGAAGGU